rnacentral:rRNA from 1 species
GACGAACGCUGGCGGCGUGCUUAACACAUGCAAGUCGAACGGAAAGGCCCUGCUUUUGUGGGGUGCUCGAGUGGCGAACGGGUGAGUAACACGUGAGUAACCUGCCCUUGACUUUGGGAUAACUUCAGGAAACUGGGGCUAAUACCGGAUAGGAGCUCCUGCUGCAUGGUGGGGGUUGGAAAGUUUCGGCGGUUGGGGAUGGACUCGCGGCUUAUCAGCUUGUUGGUGGGGUAGUGGCUUACCAAGGCUUUGACGGGUAGCCGGCCUGAGAGGGUGACCGGCCACAUUGGGACUGAGAUAAGGCCCAGACUACUACGGGAGGGAACAGUGGGGGAUAGUGGACAAUGGGCGGGAGGCUGGUGCAGGAACGCCGCGGGGCGGAUGACGGCCUUCGGGUUGUAAACCGCUUUCGCCUGUGACGGAGCGUGAGUGACGGUAAUGGGUAAAGAAGCACCGGCUAACUACGUG